CCAAAAAAGCGUGAUGGGGUAACUUGACAAAUUCCUGGAGCCCGUGAAAAGGGAGAUGGCGUCCGUACCGAGAACCGACACAGGUGCCCCUCGCUGAGAAGGCGAAGGCGUGUCGGAGUGAAUUGUGUUAAGGGAACUCGGCAAAUUAGCCCCGUAACUUCGGGAGAAGGGGUGCCUGCCUGGAGAUCGGGCAGGUCGCAGUGACCAGGGAGCUCUAACUGUCUAAUAACAACAUAGGUGACUGCAACUCGGAAACGACUAGUAUAGUCACUGAUUCCUGCCCAGUGCGAGUAUCUGAAUACCGGGUUCAACCGGACGAAGGACUCGUAAACGGCGGGGGUAACGAUGACCCUCUUAAGGUAGCGUAGUACCUUGUCGCUUAAUUGGCGACUUGCAUGAAUGGAUUAAUGAGAGCUCUACUGUCCCUAACACAAGCCCGUUGAACCUUUUGUCCUAGUGCAGAGACUAGGGACUCCUAUUGGGAAGUGAAGACCCCGUGGAGCUUUACUGCAGCCUGUCGCUGAAUUACGGUAUUACAUGCGCAGUGUAGAUGGGAGGCGUUAUAUCCGUUUCUUUCGGGAAACGGGGAGCCAACAAUGAGACACCAUCCUUGUUUUACUGUAGUUCUCACUCCAACGAGGACAACGAUAGGUGGGCAGUUUGGGUGGGGCGCCACACCCUCGAAAAAAUAUCAAGGGUGCCCUAAGGUCAACUCAUGUGAGUCAGAAACUCUCAGAAGAGUGUCAAGAGCAAAAGUUGGCCUGACGCGAUUGCGCUUAGCAAGCAAUCGCGAGGGGAAACUCGGGUCUAACGAACCAAUACGCCCUGUUGGUGAGGGCUAUUGACGACAGAAAAGCUACCCCGGGGAUAACAGAGUCGUCGCCGGCAAGAGCACAUAUCGACCCGGCGGCUUGCUACCUCGAUGUCGGUUCUUUCCAUCCUGGCUGUGCAGCAGCAGCCAAGGGUGAGGUUGUUCGCCUAUUAAAGGGGAUCGUGAGCUGGGUUUAGACCGUCGUGAGACAGGUCGGUUACUAUCUAAUAGGAGUGUCAGGAGUCUGAGGGUAAGAAUGGAAUAGUACGAGAGGAACUUCCAUUCGGCGCCACUAGUCGAUCGGUUGUCUGACAAGGCAAUGCCGAGCAGCCACGCGCCAAGGGAUAAGAGCUGAAAGCAUCUAAGCUUGAAACCCGGCCUAAAAAGAGACUCCGUUGAGGACAUGGGUAAAAGACCCGUUUGAUAGGCCUGGGAUGUACGCACGAAGGCAACGACGUGUUCAGUCCGCAGGUACUAACGUCCAAAUCC
rnacentral:rRNA from 1 species